rnacentral:rRNA from 1 species
GUAGGUGCAAGCGUUGUCCGGAAUUAUGGGCGUAAAGCGCGCGCAGGCGGUUCUUUAAGUCUGAUGUGAAAGCCCACGGGCUCAACCGUGGAGGGUCAUUGGAAACUGGAGAACUUGAGUACAGAAGAGGAAAGCGGAAUUCCACGUGUAGCGGUGAAAUGCGUAGAGAUGUGGAGGAACACCAGUGGCGAAGGCGGCUUUCUGGUCUGUAACUGACGCUGAGGCGCGAAAGCGUGGGGAGCAAACAGGAUUAGAUACCCUGGUAGUCCACGCCGUAAACGAUGAGUGCUAAGUGUUAGGGGGGUUUCCGCCCCUUAGUGCUGCAGCUAACGCAUUAAGCACUCCGCCUGGGGAGUACGGCCGCAAGGCUG